AAGACAUAGCGGGGAAGAUGCUCGGGCAGAUACUAGUUACAAAGAAGACAGGUCCUCAGGGAAAAAUCGUCAGCAAGUUUUACUUGUGUGAAAAGCUGUCACUUGUGAAUAAGAUGUACUUUGCUAUAACUCUGGAUCGUAAGACUGCUGGCCCACUUAUUAUUGCUUGUAGAAAGGGAGGAACGAGCAUUGAAGACCUUGCAGAGAAAUUUCCAGAUAUGAUUGUAAAGGUACCUGUUGAUGUUUUUGAAGGAAUUACUGAUGAAGAUGCUGCAAAGGUUGUUGAUAGUUUGGCUCCCAAAGUGGCCGAUAGAAAUCCAUCAAUUGAAUAAGUGAAGAAUUUAUAUAAACUUUUUGUUGAUUCUGACUGCACCCUUUUAGAAAUCAAUCCCAUGGCAGAGACAGCUGAUAACCAACUAGUAGCUGCUGAUGCUAAAUUGAAUUUUGAUGAUAAUGCUGCAUAUCGUCAGAAAGAAAUAUUCACUCUCCGUGAUACAACACAAGAGGACUCNAUUUCUUCAGAGGUCAAAAAGUUCAGAUGUACUAGCAACAAAGCAGGCAUUGCUGUUCAUUAUAUUGCUUCAGUACAUUCCUAGAUUUCUUCGAAUGGUACCAUUAACUUCAGAACUUAAGAGAACAACUGGUGUCUUUGCUGAAAUUGCAUGGGCAGUGACAAUGGAUGCAUCAAAAAAACUAUAUGUAUUGUGAGAACCAGCACACAGAAGGUUAUAGUGACUGGCAAAAUAAAAGCAAAGCUAUUUUUAAGUCAAGGAGCUCCGUCUCAAGAACCUAUUACUUGCCGCAAAGGAGGAGUACACAUUGUUAAGACUGAACAGGUUGAAGACAUAGCGGGGAAGAUGCUCGGGCAGAUACUAGUUACAAAGAAGACAGGUCCUCAGGGAAAAAUCGUCAGCAAGUUUUACUUGUGUGAAAAGCUGUCACUUGUGAAUAAGAUGUACUUUGCUAUAACUCUGGAUCGUAAGACUGCUGGCCCACUUAUUAUUGCUUGUAGAAAGGGAGGAACGAGCAUUGAAGACCUUGCAGAGAAAUUUCCAGAUAUGAUUGUAAAGGUACCUGUUGAUGUUUUUGAAGGAAUUACUGAUGAAGAUGCUGCAAAGGUUGUUGAUAGUUUGGCUCCCAAAGUGGCCGAUAGAAAUCCAUCAAUUGAAUAAGUGAAGAAUUUAUAUAAACUUUUUGUUGAUUCUGACUGCACCCUUUUAGAAAUCAAUCCCAUGGCAGAGACAGCUGAUAACCAACUAGUAGCUGCUGAUGCUAAAUUGAAUUUUGAUGAUAAUGCAAAAUCAAUCCCAUGGCAGAGACAGCUGAUAACCAACUAGUAGCUGCUGAUGCUAAAUUGAAUUUUGAUGAUAAUGCUGCAUAUCGUCAGAAAGAAAUAUUCACUCUCCGUGAUACAACACAAGAG
rnacentral:lncRNA from 1 species